AUCUUUGUAGUUGAAGAACAACAGCAGCUUUUCACGCUACAAGUUUGGGUUAAUACCCCCAACUAAGAUU
rnacentral:tRNA from 1 species